rnacentral:rRNA from 1 species
CUGCUGUCAGAAGCACACAGGGUCAUUGUCGUCUAGGGGCGGGGCGGUGGAGCACGAGCGCACGUGUUAGGACCCGAAAGAUGGUGAACUAUGCCUGGGCAGGGCGAAGCCAGAGGAAACUCUGGUGGAGGCUCGCAGCGGUUCUGACGUGCAAAUCGAUCGUCAAAUAUGGGCAUGGGGGCGAAAGACUAAUCGAACCUUCUAGUAGCUGGUUUCCGCCGAAGUUUCCCUCAGGAUAGCAGUGUUGAACUCAGUUUUAUGAGGUAAAGCGAAUGAUUAGGGACUCGGGGGCGCUAUAUUGCCUUCAUCCAUUCUCAAACUUUAAAUAUGUAAGAAGCCCUUGUUACUUAGUUGAACGUGGGCAUUUGAAUGUAUCAACACUAGUGGGCCAUUUUUGGUAAGCAGAACUGGCGAUGCGGGAUGAACCGAACGCGAGGUUAAGGUGCCAGAGUAGACGCUCAUCAGACACCACAAAAGGUGUUAGUACAUCUAGACAGCAGGACGGUGGCCAUGGAAGUCGGAAUCCGCUAAGGACUGUGUAACAACUCACCUGCCGAAUGUACUAGCCCUGAAAAUGGAUGGCGCUCAAGCGCGCGACCUAUACCCGGCCGUCGGGGCAAGGUCCAGGCCCCG